UACGUAGGGUGCAAGCGUUAAUCGGAAUUACUGGGCGUAAAGCGUGCGCAGGCGGUUCGGAAAGAAAGAUGUGAAAUCCCAGAGCUUAACUUUGGAACUGCAUUUUUAACUACCGAGCUAGAGUGUGUCAGAGGGAGGUGGAAUUCCGCGUGUAGCAGUGAAAUGCGUAGAUAUGCGGAGGAACACCGAUGGCGAAGGCAGCCUCCUGGGAUAACACUGACGCUCAUGCACGAAAGCGUGGGGGAGCAAACAGGAUUAGAUACCCUGGUAGUCCACGCCCUAAACGGUGUCAACUAGCUGUUGGGGCCUUCGGGCCUUGGUAGCGCAGCUAACGCGUGAAGUUGACCGCCUGGGGAGUACGGUCGCAAGAUUAAAACUCAA
rnacentral:rRNA from 1 species